rnacentral:rRNA from 1 species
GACGAACGCUGGCGGCGUGCUUAACACAUGCAAGUCGAGCGGUAAGGCCCUUUCGGGGGGUACACGAGCGGCGAACGGGUGAGUAACACGUGGGUGACCUGCCCUUAGCUCUGGGAUAAGCCUGGGAAACUGGGGUCUAAUACCCGAGUAUAGUACGUACCUACCUAGUACGGACCGACUAGUUUGGUUUGGGGGUUGGGGGGUAAAGGAAACCGUUCCGUUUGGUCGGGCCGGUACGGGUAAGGGUAGGGUCCCGGGGCCCCGGGCCGGUACCUUACUACGACGUUCGGUUUUGGGGUUGGGGGUUGGGGGUAGUAGGCCGGUACCCCUAAACCGGAACGGGACCGGAACCGGGGUAACGGGGUACCGGGCCCCGGUCCGUAGGAA